rnacentral:tRNA from 1 species
AGACGAUUAGUACAAAGAAAUACCUCUGAUUUCGGCUCAGAAAACUAUGGUUCAAGUCCAUAAUCAUCUU